UGAAAUCCAUGUUACGUAUAGAUUCUUAAAAUUAGUGCAUGAGUCGUAGAUAAAAUAUAAUUUAUGUCAAGGAGCUCGCUCACAUUGGAAUAUUCAUGAAUCGGGAACUAGGCGAAUAGAAACAGAGUUUUUUUCGAUCCUGAAUAUGGUAACACUAUCAACGUCUCUAUUACCGGGAACAAGGUGGCGAUGCUGCAGUCCAGAACAGAUGGCUUCUCUAGAACAAUUGAGUUCUUAAGGAACUCUGACAUCCUGCGUUGCGUUCUUGUGACAAACUUCGUGCAAAUUUUAUUCCAUUGGCUGAUUGCCGAUCAUUUUGUUACUUUGGCCUCAGACCAAUAUUAUUCGCGGAGCUAGUUGUGGUUAAGCAAAAUGUUGCCAUCAGAAAUGUUCGACAACAUAUUUUUCAGACGUUCGUCCGGAACCUUCUCCUCUCUGGAAUAUCGGGGAAAGAGAAAGACAAAACAAUUUAAUUUGUUCUUACCGGUUAUUACUAGCAACUUUCUUUACGAUUUAAAUUGGUAGUCAACAAGACGCAAUGAAGUCACAAUGAUUCUAAGCCACCACCUAAGAGUUAAUUUAUUCCGUGACCAUCUUUUCAAUAUCGCCAGUCGUUUCUCUCAGGUAUUAGCAUUCUAUGCGUAUGCAUGUAGUCGCAUAUGUUUGCAGCAGAGUCUUGUUCGCCUUUAGACAAAAUCAUCAACGAUGCAGUAAAAUAGUAGUUGGUUAAAUAGUAAUUAAAGGCUGAUAUCAAAAUCUUUUUUAUGUUAGAUAGAGAUUUUAGAUCAAUUUCAAGGAUGAACUUCCGCUUUCUGAUGAGCACCUGUUUCUCAGAUAAGAUAAUACUUAUCCGAAUCACGUGCAUCAUUAAGCAACUAGAGAUAUGCUUAAUGUUUAACUGUAAUUCAUAUAUUAGCGGAUGACUGCAAUUAAUCGUUAUAUGAUCAACGCGAUAAAAAAAGGUUCAAACAGGCUUGAUCCCUCGUUCGUUCUGCAUUUACUCAACUGUAUUUUCCUUUCCAUCAUAUUUGAAUUUUAUUUUCAGUUAGAUACACAGUAGCCAUUAAUUGAACAAACGAGGAGGAAUUUGAGAUAUAGACAUCGCUUAAGAGUACAAGAGAGAGGGGAAAAGAGAUUGAAGGUAACUGUAACGAGGACGAAAUAACACGGAUGAUAGCGUAUCGUGAUAAUCUCUCUCGAUCAUCGUUGUUUUCGCGUAAACUUAAGAAAGUGUUACUUACAUAUGUAUUGCGUUAGAAAGUUCGAAAAGAGAGUGUAGGCUGUCAAUUCGUUAUAGAGCAGGAUUUUAUCAUAACAAAUGUUUCACUAGCAAUAUUAUUAUUAAACUCGCUACAAAUCGAAUUUAUAUUAUACGCAUUGAACGGAAUUUUCCAUUUUACAGUCAAACAUAAUAGCCAUCCACGAAUUGCGAAUGAAAAUUGCAUCUUCUCCAAUAGAAUUUAUCCUACCAAUGGCGUCAAUCAGUGGAGAUAAACCAGAGAAAAUACAAAAUAUAGAUUCGAGAUAUCUACAAGGGAAAUUUGGUACGCAGAAGAUGCAUAAAGUUGAUUGGCGCACGCGUCUCGCGUUGAAGCUUGUUUUCUACGUGCUACCGUGCACACUAACCAACACUAACCAGUGGGUCAAACGUUCUGCAUGACACAUAGCCUACUGCUCGCCCAAGUUCGCGUCGAAACAACGAUACGUGGAGUUCUGCGUGAAACGAUGCACACAUGCUCGCACCACGUGCCUGUCACGUGCUCGACGCGAGAGGAAAUAAGCGGCCUAUCCUGAACGAUCACCGAAUUAUCGAAGAAGGUUGUGAAGCGCGUGACUCAUUCACGAGAGUAACUUAUCAAAUCUUAUCGGAUCUCGUGACUCGUGUUCAACACUGUCCAGAGAGUGAAAUGGUUCCCGCCCAUGUCCACCGUAGAACCACUACUUACACUUGAAAUUACAUAUAUACAUGUGUACUUGCUCGGUACACGUGAUGAUAGUAACAGAAGAGUAUCAUUGCCUGUUACGUAAUCGAUUGUCAAUCUUAGAAAGUAAUACGAGGAAAAUUAAAGUAAGACCCAAUUGUUAGAAU